GUGUACUUAAACUAAACUUAUGAUCUGGUAUUUUCAAUAAGAUUUUUUUUUAAAUUGAAUGAGGAAGUUAUUGAUAUUUUGAAGUUAUUUUGAGCAGCAUAUUUCAAUCCAUUUAUUGUGAAUAAAAAAGAUUUCUUUUAGUUGGAAAUGAUGUAGUUUACUCAAUGGUGUGUAGACUGUCAACAUGUGAAACCUACAUAGUCUCCUCUGUUAAAGAUCACUAAUGGUGGAUAAACAAUGAGUGAUGCAGACUGUUCACCAAAAGGGAGUUUUGACACCUGUAUGCCUAUAUUUCUACCAAUCACCCUGUUAUCUUUUUUGUCAUGUUCUUUGGACAGGUAAAAUAACAAGGUAAAACAAGUAGAAAGAAAAGGCUGGAGCAAAGAUGAGAAAAGCACCAUAUGCCAAGGGUUUGUAAGGAGAGUAGCAGAUCAGAAACCUUUGACUAGAGAAGAUGUGAAUGGAGACAGAUUCUGAUGAUGCCAUCAUUGGGAGACAGGAUGACUAUAAGACACUAAUUCCUCAUCCAUAAAGAUUUCUACAAGUGGUUCAUUUGGAUGAUUAUUUUGGACAUUCCCAAGAAACUAUAAUUCCUAACUAGACCAAACUUGUAUGGUAAGGCAUGUAGAUGUGCACACUACUAGAACAUUCAAUUUAUGAUAGACAUUGCCUUCACUCAUAGAUAAUAUUCUUCUGAGGAGAACUUUAAGAAAAGUGAUUUUGAUGUUAUGCACUUAUAUUUUCAGAAAUGAAUACAGAUUUCAUUACAAGACGUGUGCAUGGUGCAACAUCCUGGAUGGUGUGUAGUAUGUUUGUUAACAUGUGAAGCCUACGUGUAUUUCAGGGAGUUGUCUCCCAUGUUUAAGAUCAGUAAUGGCGGAUAUACAAUGCAGUAUGCUGUCUGGUCAUCAACAGAGAGUUUUGACACCCGUAUUUCUACCAAUCACCUCUGUAACCUUUGUUGUAUUCAUCAGAUAGAUUCACCAGAUGCAGCUGCUCCAUCUCCAUCACUGGUGAAAUGGGAAAUGACUAGUGGACGGUCAUCACUUUGUAACUCACCAUUUUGCAGCCCAUCUCUUCUCAUCUUCAGUGGUGGCCUCUGGAGGAAUGGUUGCAGUGCAGUCUUCGUGUCUUAGGCAGAUAACUUCCUUUCCUUUGCUUCUCAGUUUUUAGCUCAACUCAACGAAAUUGGGGAACCUUAUGUGAUACCCUCAGCAUUGGUGUUGGUGUCCCAGGUUAAGUUUUUGGAGCAGAGUUCUUUUUAACUAUGAAAAUGAAGAACUGGAAAGGAUCUUGAUUGAUUUUUCUUGAAUGAGACACAAGUGCCUUCCAUUUGUGAUACUAAAGGAAGCUGUUACAAAUUUAGUUUGCCACAGUACUGGCCUGACAUAUGAGGACAGGAAUAAAAGAUGUUUUAAAAUAGAAAUGUCUAUAAUUUAACUUAUAAGUAUGAUUAACUAAGAUCACAAACAACAAAUCAGUUGCAUUGCAAAUGUACAUAUAGCAUGUUUGCACUUACGAGGGAAUAUUCACUCCCUUUCAGUGAAAGUGUUGGCAUGCAGGUCAAUUAUUGUCACCAAAUCAUCUGUCAUAUUCUCUGCAUGCAGCUGUAGAAUUUGAUCAGAAAGAUUAGCUACACUAUUCUAUGUAUAAGUCUUAUGUAUAAAUCUAAGACAUUUUGGUUUCUAGUCACCAGUCUAUAUUUAUAAUCAUUGUAGUGUAAAAAAAUUCAGGUCCAUAAGUCGAUUGAGACUUUAUGUUUUAGUGAAAUGUUUUGUUUAUUUAUUGCCAACUCGCUGUAAAUCAAAUGUAGUUAAAAAUUUCAGCACUUUCAUUGUGUUUAUGCAAUUUAUUGUUCUUCAAUGUCAGUGA